rnacentral:rRNA from 1 species
UACGUAGGUGGCAAGCGUUAUCCGGAAUUAUUGGGCGUAAAGCGCGCGCAGGUGGUUUCUUAAGUCUGAUGUGAAAGCCCACGGCUCAACCGUGGAGGGUCAUUGGAAACUGGGAGACUUGAGUGCAGAAGAGGAAAGUGGAAUUCCAUGUGUAGCGGUGAAAUGCGUAGAGAUAUGGAGGAACACCAGUGGCGAAGGCGACUUUCUGGUCGUGUAACUGACACUGAGGCGCGAAAGCGUGGGGAGCGAACCGG